rnacentral:rRNA from 1 species
GUGGGUUCUGCGAAGUUAACCAAGGUAUCGCUCAGUUAGUACUGCGGUGGGGGACCCCGCGGGAAUCCUGAGUGCUGCAGUUU